GCAGGGUUGAUUUGAGUCCCUCGCAUCCUCCCUCAUUCCUGUCUAAGGGGGAAAGGAACAAUUGGACACAGUUAUACAACACUCUAAGCUAAAGCAUACAUUGAAUAGAAAAAUGGAAGCGUCUUAAAUCUCCAGGAAAACAAGCGGGACUCUGAGAAUGACUAGAAUGCUGAAAUUGCGGCUGGUUGUUAGAAGUGAUCAAAUGACUCAGAGUCCUUCAAGAAACUAUCAUUAGUUAGAUGCUAAUGCUUGAUUAUCUAGUGCAGAGUAAUAAAAAAAAAAUGAAUGGUUCGUACUUUAAAAAAAAAAUUCUCUUGCUUAGUCAGUCAGCAUUACAUAAUCAGUGAUUGACCGGACAAGUACAUGCGCAAUCCAAUCUUCAUAAGUUCAUAACCAUAACUAAGGUCUUCAACUAUUUACAAUGACACUUUAGAGAUAAAGAAGCACUUUACGUUUAUAAGUUAUCUAAACAAUAUCGUCAAUGGUGUUUCUGUUGAAGUCCCACAUCAGUAGGGUGAAAAGAAACCAAGGGGUUUAAAUAGUAUUACCCUACUCACACACUGACGGAUUGGGCAAGUGGUAAAGUUGGGGACACGGAUUGGGCAAGUGGUAAAGUUGGGGACAGUAUCGGUGUCGUUAGAGUGGGACGGGCCCGACGAUCCAAAAAUCCAACAGUUUCUAGGUCAAUAUUCACUCUAACAGUUUCUAGAUCAAUAUUCAGAUGAUUUACAAGUGUUUAAUAUUCUGAUGAUAUUAUUCUUCUCCAGCGGAGAUAUACAUAUAUGCUGAUUUACAAACAAGUGUAGGCAUAUGAAUCGAAAAAUGAGAUAGAAGAAUGACAUUACCAAGAAGACCCAUAUGAAUCGAAAGAUGAGAUCAAGUGUAGGCAUAUGAAUCGAAGGAUGAGAUAGAAG
rnacentral:lncRNA from 1 species